rnacentral:rRNA from 1 species
CUACGGGUUGCUGCAGUGAGGAAUAUUGCACAAUGGGGGGAACCCUGAUGCAGCAACGCCGCGUGGAGGAUGACGCAUUUCGGUGUGUAAACUCCUUUUAUAUGUCAAGAAAAUGACGGUAGCAUAUGAAUAAGCACCGGCUAACUCCGUGCCAGCAGCCGCGGUAAUACGGAGGGUGCAAGCGUUACUCGGAAUCACUGGGCGUAAAGGACGCGUAGGCGGGUUGGAAAGUCAGGUGUGGAAUCCUACAGCUUAACUGUAGAACUGCACUUGAAACUUCUAAUCUAGAGUAUGGGAGGGGGAGAGGGAAUUAGUGGUGUAGGGGUAAGAUCCGUAGAUAUCACUAGGAAUACCUAAAGCGAAGGCGAUCUCCUGGAACAUUACUGACGCUAAGGCGUGAAAGCGUGGGGAGCAAACAGGAUUAGAUACCCUCGUAGUC